AAAAAAAAAAAAAAACUUUUAAACCCAGAAGAAGAGAAAAACAAAUAAGAAACUGAAUUCCAAUUAGAACCUUUUAUGCCUCAUUUUGGAUGUCGGUGCAUAUACACUAUUUGUGUGUGACUAAACAUAAUUUAUUGAAACUGCGUAUUCGAUAUUUUAUUAUAAACAUACACGUAUAGGCAUUCACGGUGGUUGUUAUUGAUAGCUUAAAACUUAUAAACCAAAAACUAGUAGUUCCAACCCAAUGUAAAGUCACAAUAGCAAAACUUUUAUACGAGCAACUCAUCAUAUUUGGUAUAACAGCAGCCAUGGAAAACACGCUUUGUUUUUAAAAAGGUAUGGUUCACAAUUGAAAAAAAUCUGAAGACAGGGAUACAUAUUCAAAAUUUAGACCGCGUAUAUAAAAGCUGUUCAAAGAUGGUUAUCACCGCGGCUGUGUUGAAGACCCAUUGGUGGUUUUGGCUGCUCUUGUGUCAGGUUGUUGUCUCUUUGACAUGCACAUUCUCCAUUUCUAUUCUCAAUUUUAUUGUUAAGAUUAGUAAAUAUUGUGUUUUCAUGGAUCGGUCCAAUACGUUGAUAUAUGUCUUACCAACACAUGGAAAAAUUGUGAAAUAGAAAUAGUCUAUAAUCAUUUCUAUAUA
rnacentral:lncRNA from 1 species